rfam:Camelus ferus unplaced genomic scaffold scaffold1050, whole genome shotgun sequence.
GAGGGUGUAGCUCAGCAGAAGAGUGCAUGCUUGCAUGCAUGAGGUCAUGGGUUCUAUUCCCAGUACCUCUG